CUACAGCGAGGCUAAGCUAGUGGGCGCAAAGUUUCAGUGCAUUCCGUUGAUGUAGACAGCGUGAAAACGGAAACAACAAGUAUGCCGUCUCACUGUGCUGCAUACAAUUACACACUGCGUCGUACGAUUGAGACAAGGAAACUUGGAAUGACUUUUCAUAGGUUUCCCAGAGACUAUGGAUUGAGGAGGAAUUGGAAGUUUGUCAGCUUAGACCUGGUGUCAUUCCAUCAGUGUUAAACUUCCCGGCUCAUCUUGGAAGAGUACGUGCCAGAAAGACCACGACCAAGCAGCCUUGAGAUCUUAGGCAGCGUCUCCCUGAGGUCCCUCUCUAUCUCCCCACACAUCCACCAACCACUGGAACACAUCUCCAAAGUUCUGCAGGGCCAGCUCAGCUUCCCCUCAGAAGAAGUGCUGCCACCUGCCAGAUGAAGGAGCCUUUUGAGAGGCAGCUGGCAUCGUGAUUGGACUGUACUUUGGUCUGUUCCAAUCCAGCUUCAGCUCCAGAGACGGCAGGCGGGACGAGUCAGUGGAGGCCGGGUGGACGAAG
ensembl:lncRNA